rnacentral:tRNA from 1 species
GACCAUCUGCCGGAGUGGUCUAUCGGGUGGCGUUCAGGUCGUCAUGUAUUCGUACUCGUGGGUUCGAAUCCCACGGUGGUCA